UCAAGCGAAUAAGCGCACACGGUGGAUGCCUUGGCGGUCAGAGGCGAUGAAGGACGUGGCAGCCUGCGAAAAGUAUCGGGGAGCUGGCAACAAGCUUUGAUCCGGUAAUGUCCGAAUGGGGAAACCCACCCGCUUGCGGGUAUCCUGCAGUGAAUACAUAGCUGCUGGAAGCGAACCUGGUGAACUGAAAUAUCUAAGUAACCAGAGGAAAAGAAAUCAACCGAGAUUCCGUAAGUAGCGACGAGCGAACGCGGACUAGCCCUUAAGCUGGAUUGGUUCUAGGAAAACGCUCUGGAAAGAGCGGCCAUAGAAGGUGAUAGCCCUGUAUCUGAAAGGGCCAUUCCAGUGAAGACGAGUAGGGCGGGGCACGUGAAACCCUGUCUGAACAUGGGGGGACCAUCCUCCAAGGCUAAAUACUACUGACCGACCGAUAGUGAACCAGUACCGUGAGGGAAAGGCGAAAAGAACCCCGGAGAGGGGAGUGAAAUAGAACCUGAAACCGUGUGCGUACAAGCAGUAGGAGCUCCGCAAGGAGUGACUGCGUACCUUUUGUAUAAUGGGUCAGCGACUUACUGUUCGUGGCAAGCUUAACCGUAUAGGGGAGGCGAAGGGAAACCGAGUCUGAUAAGGGCGCAUAGUCGCGGGCAGUAGACCCGAAACCGGGUGAUCUAGUCAUGCCCAGGGUGAAGGUGCGGUAACACGCACUGGAGGCCCGAACCCACUCCCGUUGCAAAGGUAGGGGAUGAGGUGUGAUUAGGAGUGAAAAGCUAAUCGAACCCGGAGAUAGCUGGUUCUCCUCGAAAGCUAUUUAGGUAGCGCCUCAUAUGUAUCCUCUCGGGGGUAGAGCACUGUUAUGGCUAGGGGGUCAUCGCGACUUACCAAACCAUUGCAAACUCCGAAUACCGAGACGGACUGUAUGGGAGACACACGGCGGGUGCUAACGUCCGUCGUGAAAAGGGAAACAACCCAGACCCACAGCUAAGGUCCCAAAUUCACUGCUAAGUGGAAAACCAUGUGGAAAGGCACAGACAGCCAGGAGGUUGGCUUAGAAGCAGCCACCCUUUAAAGAAAGCGUAAUAGCUCACUGGUCGAGUCGGUCUGCGGGGAAGAUUUAACGGGGCUAAGCAGUGAACCGAAGCUUGGGGUGCAUAACUUUGUUAUGCGCGGUAGAGGAGCGUUCCGUAAGCCGUUGAAGGUGGAUUGAGAAGUCUGCUGGAGGUAUCGGAAGUGCGAAUGCUGACAUGAGUAACGAUAAUGCGGGUGAAAACCCCGCACGCCGAAAGCCCAAGGUUUCCUUGCGCAACGUUAAUCGGCGCAGGGUGAGUCGGCCCCUAAGGCGAGGACGAAAGUCGUAGUCGAUGGGAAGCAGGUUAAUAUUCCUGCACCUCGCGUAAGUGCGAUGGAGGGACGGAGAAGGUUAGGUGUACCAGGCGUUGGUUGUCCUGGGGAAAGGCGGUAGGUUUGGAUCUUUGGCAAAUCCGGGAUCCUUUAAGACCGAGCACCGAGACGAGCCUUUAUGGCGAAGUCACUGAUACCACGCUUCCAGGAAAAGCUCCUAAGCUUCAGCUUACGCAGACCGUACCGUAAACCGACACAGGUGGGUAGGAUGAGAAUUCUCAGGCGCUUGAGAGAACUCGGGUGAAGGAACUAGGCAACAUGGCACCGUAACUUCGGGAGAAGGUGCACCCUUUUUGGUGGCUCGUGCGAGCUAUAGCUGAAGAGGGUCGCAGUAACCAGGCCGCUGCGACUGUUUAUCAAAAACACAGCACUCUGCAAACACGAAAGUGGACGUAUAGGGUGUGACGCCUGCCCGGUGCUGGAAGGUUAAUUGAUGGGGUCAGCCGCAAGGCGAAGCUCUUGAUCGAAGCCCCAGUAAACGGCGGCCGUAACUAUAACGGUCCUAAGGUAGCGAAAUUCCUUGUCGGGUAAGUUCCGACCUGCACGAAUGGCGUAACGACAGCGGCGCUGUCUCCACCCGAGACUCAGUGAAAUUGAAAUCGCUGUGAAGAUGCAGCGUUCCCGUGGCAAGACGGAAAGACCCCGUGAACCUUUACUAUAGCUUUACACUGAACGUUGAGUUCGUCUGUGUAGGAUAGGUGGGAGGCUAUGAAACUGUGGCGCUAGCUGCAGUGGAGCCAUCCUUGAAAUACCACCCUGUCGUGCUUGACGUUCUAACCUGGGCCCAUUAUCUGGGUCGGGGACCGUGUAUGGUGGGUAGUUUGACUGGGGCGGUCUCCUCCUAAAGAGUAACGGAGGAGCUCGAAGGUACGCUCAGCGCGGUCGGACAUCGCGCACUGUGUGCAAAGGCAUAAGCGUGCUUGACUGCAAGAUCGACGGAUCAAGCAGGUAGGAAACUAGGACUUAGUGAUCCGGUGGUUCUGUAUGGAAGGGCCAUCGCUCAACGGAUAAAAGGUACUCCGGGGAUAACAGGCUGAUACCGCCCAAGAGUUCAUAUCGACGGCGGUGUUUGGCACCUCGAUGUCGGCUCAUCACAUCCUGGGGCUGUAGUCGGUCCCAAGGGUAUGGCUGUUCGCCAUUUAAAGUGGUACGCGAGCUGGGUUCAGAACGUCGUGAGACAGUUCGGUCCCUAUCUGCCAUGGGCGUUGGAGAUUUGAGAGGGGCUGCUCCUAGUACGAGAGGACCGGAGUGGACGAACCUCUGGUGUUCCGGUUGUCACGCCAGUGGCAUUGCCGGGUAGCUAUGUUCGGAAGCGAUAACCGCUGAAAGCAUCUAAGCGGGAAGCGCGCCUCAAGAUGAGAUCUCCCGGGGCACAAGCCCCCUGAAGGAACCAUGUAGACUACGUGGUUGAUAGGUCAGGUGUGUAAGUACAGCAAUGUAUUGAGCUAACUGAUACUAAUGAUCCGUGCGGCUUGACCAU
rnacentral:rRNA from 1 species